rnacentral:rRNA from 1 species
ACGGAAGGCAGCAGUGGGGAAUAUUGCACAAUGGGCGAAAGCCUGAUGCAGCGACGCCGCGUGAGUGAAGAAGUAUCUCGGUAUGUAAAGCUCUAUCAGCAGGGAAGAAAAUGACGGUACCCGACUAAGAAGCCCCGGCUAACUACGUGCCAGCAGCCGCGGUAAUACGUAGGGGGCAAGCGUUAUCCGGAUUUACUGGGUGUAAAGGGAGCGUAGACGGUUUGGCAAGUCUGAAGUGAAAUGCGGGGGCUCAACUCCUGAACUGCUUUGGAAACUGUCGAACUAGAGUGCAGGAGAGGUAAGUGGAAUUCCUAGUGUAGCGGUGAAAUGCGUAGAUAUUAGGAGGAACACCAGUGGCGAAGGCGGCUUACUGGACUGUAACUGACGUUGAGGCUCGAAAGCGUGGGGAGCAAACAGGAUUAGAUACCCUGGUA